GAUGAACGCUGGCGGUCUGCUUAACACAUGCAAGUCGAACGGAAUCCUUAGGGAUUUAGUGGCGGACGGGUGAGUAACACGUAAGAACCUGCCUCUAGGACGGGGACAACAGUUGGAAACGACUGCUAAACCCGGAUGAGCCGAAAGGUAAAAGAUUUAUCGCCUAGAGAGGGGCUUGCGUCUGAUUAGCUAGUUGGUAGGGUAAAGGCUUACCAAGGCGACGAUCAGUAGCUGGUCUGAGAGGAUGAUCAGCCACACUGGGACUGAGACACGGCCCAGACUCCUACGGGAGGCAGCAGUGGGGAAUUUUCCGCAAUGGGCGAAGGCCUGACGGAGCAAGACCGCGUGGGGGAGGAAGGUUCUUGGAUUGUCAACCCCUUUUCUCAGGGAAGAACGCAAUGACGGUACCUGAGGAAAAAGCAUCGGCUAACUCCGUGCCAGCCGCCGCCGUAAAAC
rnacentral:rRNA from 1 species